GCAAUGAGUGUCUGAGUCUGUUAGGCCAAACUCCAGAAACCUCACCAGAAUGUCAGCUAUCAAGAUGACAAUUUCUGGAACUCAAGGCACAGCCGAAGAAGCCUUUCCGGACCAGAAACCUUUCUGGACCAGAAAAUGACCAUGGGACACAACAUACACAUGCCAGUGAAUAGGCUAUCAGGAGAUAAGAUAAUGUGAUGGAAAUCUUCUGCUUCUGUCCACGUAGUGUGCAAAUUCUGGAGUCUAUGCUGCAAGUCUUCUGCUCUUUUGUUUUGCCUUUCUUUCAGUUCUCCUAGAUCCUUCCUUGUGCUCUGUGUGUUUGAUCCUGCAAGCAGCAGCCCACACCAGAUAGCUGCUGAUUGUUGAAAGAGAUGUUCUCAACUGUCUGCCCCUCAGCAGUAAUUCUUGCACAGAUCUUCAGUUCUCCUGCCAGCUCUGACAAAAUGUGCUAAGUUCAGUACAUUUGUAAUCACCAGUUUAAAUUCUUUAAGACUAAAAUUGUUUAGGAGGUUCUGAAGUUACUAAGAGCACUUGGCAGAACCCAUUGUUUCUUACUUCAUGGAGAUCUCACUUUCUGAGGCCAAUCAUUCUGACAGCUCUUUUUACAACUUGACUCUACAAAUGAACAGAAUCAGGCAGGAAUUAAUACAGGAGGGUAAGAAGAGUUUAAUUUCAGACAGGGAAGAGGAUUCAGUGUGAAGAAUACAGCUCUCUGAUAAAACCAGAAAGUCUUCAUUAUCGUGGCUACCUAGGAAUAUGUAAGUGACUUCAGGUUUCUAAGGAGAUGUGUAAUCUGUUGUUAGAUCAACGCAUAUGACUGACAAAAGAAAAAAAGAAACAACAACAAAAAACAACAACAACAAACAAGUUGUCCAGGGUAUACUUCUAUAGGCACGAAAUACAUGCAACAGCCUUCAUAACGGGAUGCAGGUUGAGAAUUAUUACUUGGAGUUUAAUUUGACGAUUAGAAUUUUGCUACCUUAGUAAAGAGGGGAGAAAAAGGAACUGCUUCUGUAUCCUGCAUGGAAUGUUGUAACAAGUAAGACCAGAAUUUAAUAGAGCAGAAGAUGAGGGUCUUGUCUGCUCCAAAGUUUGUCAUUUUUUUUCAACUAUAUCAAUUACUCUAACAAAAGCUCUAUAUGUUAAGCCAAUGUAGGAGUUGAAG
rnacentral:lncRNA from 7 species